UACGUAGGGGGCAAGCGUUGUCCGGAAUCAUUGGGCGUAAAGAGCGCGUAGGCGGCCCUGUAAGUCCGCUGUGAAAGUCAAGGGCUCAACCCUUGAAUGCCGGUGGAUACUGCAGGGCUAGAGUCCGGAAGAGGCGAGUGGAAUUCCUGGUGUAGCGGUGAAAUGCGCAGAUAUCGGGAGGAACACCAGUGGCGAAGGCGGCUUUCUGGUCUGCUCUUGACGCUGAGGCGCGAAAGCUAGGGUAGCAAACGGG
rnacentral:rRNA from 1 species